rnacentral:rRNA from 1 species
AUACGGAGGAUCCGAGCGUUAUCCGGAUUUAUUGGGUUUAAAGGGUGCGCAGGCGGCCAUUUAAGUCAGCGGUUAAAUCGUGGGGCUCAACCCCAUUCUGCCGUUGAUACUGGGUGGCUUGAUUGCGGUCGAGGUUGGCGGAAUUCGUUGUGUAGCGGUGAAAUGCAUAGAUAUGACGAAGAACACCGAUUGCGUAGGCAGCUGACCAGACCGCAAAUGACGCUCAUGCACGAAAGUGCGGGGAUCGAACAGGAUUAGAUACCCUGGUAGUUCGCACAGUAAACGAUGAAUACUUGUUUUCGGCGAUAUAAUGUCGGAGGCAAAGCGAAAGCGAUAAGUAUUCCACCUGGGGAGUACGCCGGCAACGGUGAAACUCAAAUGAAUUGACGG